CCCGCCCCCGGAGCCCGGCGGUCAGAGGCGUUGGGCCCGGCCCGUCGGUGGCCCAGGUCGGACAGGGCUAUCCCCCGCGGCCUGUGCCGGCCUCUCACCUGCUUCAGCCGGGAGAUGAGCACGGUCUUCACUCCGGUGAUGUCCAGGUUGCGCCGCUUCAGUUCUGACUUGAGGUCGAUGACCCGCAGGGAACGCUUGAAGUUAUUUUGCCAAUACGAGCUGUUCUAGCUGCUUCUGAAUCUUCGUGAGGCAGAAACGGUGAAUUGAAUUUCAGGAAAGAAGAUGAAAGGGAUGACAAAUACAGCACUUGGGCUGCAUAGAGGGGUUGCUUGACCUGCCUAAACCUUGCUGCAUGGUCAUGUAGCUGUACACCUAACUCACCCUCCCAGCCCCCAAAU